UUGAAUGCUGGUGUCCAUGGAUCUAGCUCU
rnacentral:piRNA from 1 species